rnacentral:lncRNA from 1 species
CCCCCAAUCAACUUUUUAUUUUCUUUCUCAAUUAACAUAAAGGUGGCAGACCCACAUUUUCCCCAAUUCUCGGUUCUCUCUCAAUACUAGUCAAAAGUGGAAGUAAAGCAUUUCUCUCUCUCAAACUUUAUUAAAGUAAAAUUUCUCCUUUUUCUCACAUUAAUAUCGGUUCUCUCUCACUCUCCUCACACUACCGAUUUUCUUUCACUCUCCUCACACUACCAUCGGCUCUCUCCCUCAAAAAAUCAAGAAGGAAUCGCUGCUCACAUCUCUCUCUCUUUCGCUCGAUUCCGGCGUCGCGCCGCCGCGCCGCUCCGCCUGCAAUCGCCCGCGGAAGUCGCCGCCGUCUGGAGUUGCUGCCACCGUCGCCAGCUGGAGCGUCGGCAGCGGCUGCUGCCGCUCCUGGUUCGCCGCCGCCUCUGGCGGACGCCACCGCCCCUGAGCUUUUGACGAGGCUAUAGACGUCAUUCCCUCCUUAGUUCUUUCCGCUUUCGAACUCAAGGGAUGGGUCUUCUUUCGCUGUCUUCUGGGUUCCGGCUGAGAAGGGUAGGCCGUCGCUGCUGUCCUCCUCGGAGUCGACGGGCCUGACUCUUCACCUCGCCGUUGCUGCUUUACUCAUAUUCCGGCGAGGCAGCAAGGACUCGUCGUCGUUCCCUUGGUUCGACUGAACAGGUACAUCAAUCUAGUCCCCUUCCAUUUUUCUUAUGUUCUAAGUUAACAUCUUAUAUUUGCGUGAAGUCUUGGUUCUACAUACUAUAUGUGCAAGGGAUUAAUGGCGUUGUGGUGUUGCUACUGUGUUAGCAUCUAAUUUUUAGAGUCCAGUAGGAAUCAUAAACGCAUAGGACAUUCUACAUAACAUGGGUAAAUCUGUAUUACUCAAACGUGACUUUGCUAAGUCCAUUAUGCAUAUAUAUCUCAAUUCUUUAUUCUUACUUUCUAACACAUAAGCAUACUUGUUGGUGUAAAUCAUGUAGCAUGAACUAGAGUAAAAUGAGAUUAGCAAUCACCUUGUGUGUUUUGUGCUUGGUUGGCUGCUGUGCUAAUGAAUUCAGGAGUGAAUAAACUCUUGGGGUCCAGAUUGCAGCUGAAAUAAACUCUCUAUGAUUUUUGGUGCAUAAAGGAAGGAGUAGAUUUGCUGCUGUGAUGAAGAAGGUGAAUGAGGAUGGUUUUAUACUGAACUUAUGGAGAGCUGAUUAGUGUGAAAAGAUGAUGAAUAGUACGGCUAAAUUGUAGAGCGUGGUUGAAGAAUUUAAAGAUGAGAUUUGCUGUUGACAUUCUUGAGAUUUGUUUGCUGAAUUCUUUUUGAUUAUGUAGGAGUGGAAAAAGAAAAGCUAAGCACGGGUGAGCAUAUAUAAAUAGAGUGACUGAGGGAGCAUGGCGUGCUAGAUUUAAU